rnacentral:lncRNA from 1 species
AAUAUACAUACCUUAACCUAUCAAGGACAUCGCCUCAGUUAGAACGUCUUGGAUUAGGCAUUUAGUUUAGUAGCCGGAGUGAGAGCGUUGACUAAGGUCAUUCCAUGACUUAGGAUUACGUAUGGUGACGCAUACCCUGUAAAGAUGCUCAGAGGAGCAAAAUCUAUUUCCUUAUUGAAGGCGUGAUGAUUCAGAAGUUUUUUUUUUAAUGACACGGAAGAGUGCUUCAAAUUAUAUGGUUGCAUUUCAAGCGCUAUGUGAAGGAACACUAAGUACUAGAAGUACUAU